GUGCUCGCUUCAGCAGCACAUAUACUAAAAUUGGAACAAUACAGAGAUUAGCGUGGCCCUGUGCAAAGAUGACACGCAAAUUCAUGAAGUGUUUCAUAUUUUU